GGCUGAACAAUCUGAUGAAGAUCCAGUGCUAAUUAUACCUGAUUGUUUCCAUGUCUUCCAUGGUCCUACAGCUGCUCACACACUUGCAGAAAUUAGAUGGUCUUAUCCUUCAAGCAGAUGUAUUCGCCACUCCAUCUGAUGUCCAGCAGUCUCUACAUUUGCCAGAGAACACAACUUAAAAUUCUUGGUAUGUAAACAGUAAAGGUUUAGUUCACCCUAAAAUGAACAUUAAGUCACCAUUUACGCUAUGGAAGCAUAUGUGUAGCAAAAUUCAAUUUAAAAUGCAAUAUGUAAAAUGGCAACGUAUUUCUGUAUUUUAAUUUACAUUUUACCGUACAUAUGUGCAACGUUUAGUGCAAAAUAACAAUGAAAAUUAA